rnacentral:rRNA from 1 species
GAUGAACGCUAGCUACAGGCUUAACACAUGCAAGUCGAGGGGAAACGACAUCGAAAGCUUGCUUUUGAUGUGCGUCGACCGGCGCACGUGUGAGUAACGCGUAUCCAACCUGCUCAUCACUGGGUAAUAACCUUGCGAAAGUAAUACUAAUACCCAAUGACAUCCCACGAAGACAUCUGAAUUUGAUUAAUGAUUUAUCUGUGAUGGAUGGGGAUGCGUCUGAUUAGCUUGUUGGCGGGGUAACGGCCCACCAAGGCAACGAUCAGUAGGGGUUCUGAGAGGAAGGUCCCCCACAUUGGAACUGAGACACGGACCACACUCCUACGGGAGGCAGCAGUGAGGAAUAUUAGUCAAUGGGCGAGAGCCUGAACCAGCCAAGUAGCGUGAAGGAGGACGGCCCUAUGGGUUGUAAACUGCUUUUAUAAGGGAAUAAAGUGGGUAUCGUGAGACUUUUUGAAUGUACCUAAUGAAUAAGGACCGGCUAAUUCCGUG